AUGAGUGAAAGCCUCUGCCCGAUCAUGUCGUGGAAUGUCCGCGGCCUUAACCAGCCGGCAAAACGCACGGCGAUCUGCGAGGUAGUUACAGCUAACAAAGUAGCGAUCCUGUGCCUGCAGGAAACUAAGAUAGAUAUCUGGACCCCAAGCAUCGUCAGAGAAAUUGGUGGCGCUGCUCUGACUGAAUGUAUUGUCCUCCCUGCGAUCGGCUCCCGUGGCGGAGCCGCUAUCUUCUGGAACAGAGACUUGGCCAGCAUUGUCUCGCAGGCUGUAGGUGAGUUCGCGAUCACUGCACAAGUGACACUCCUCCAGCAAUCCACAAGCUUCUGGCUCACGACUGUCUACGGCCCAGCAGAUGACAGUAGGAAAACUGCUUUCCUUGCCGAAUUAGCUAGAACGGCCCCACCCUCUGAUCCAUGGCUCAUCAACGAAGAUUUUAACCUCAUCUACGAGGCGAGAGACAAAAACAACCACCACCUCAACCGCGGGAUCAUGGGCAUGUUUAUACAAGCCAUCGACAACGCCGGACUAAAAGAAAUUAAGUGCAAAAAUCGCCGCUACACCUGA
rnacentral:rRNA from 1 species